GAUGAACGCUGGCGGCGUGCCUAAUACAUGCAAGUCGAGCGAAUGGAUUAAGAGCUUGCUCUUAUGAAGUUAGCGGCGGACGGGUGAGUAACACGUGGGUAACCUGCCCAUAAGACUGGGAUAACUCCGGGAAACCGGGGCUAAUACCGGAUAACAUUUUGAACCGCAUGGUUCGAAAUUGAAAGGCGGCUUCGGCCGUCACUUAUGGAUGGACCCGCGUCGCAUUAGCUAGUUGGUGAGGUAACGGCUCACCAAGGCAACGAUGCGUAGCCGACCGGAGAGGGUGAUCGGCCACACUGGGACUGAGACACGGCCCAGACUCCUACGGGAGGCAACAGUAGGGAAUCUUCCGCAAUGGACGAAAGUCUGACGGAGCAACGCCGCGUGAGUGAUGAAGGCUUUCGGGUCGUAAAACUCUGUUGUUAGGGGAGAACAAGUGCUAGUUGAAUAAGCUGGCACCUUGACGGUACCUAACCAGAAAGCCAUGGCUAACUACGUGCCAGCAGCCGCGGUAA
rnacentral:rRNA from 1 species